CAUCUCUGUCAUUCAAGUGCCUGAAGAUCAAGCUGUGUCAUUGCAGGAGUUGCCUUUUGGUGCUCCAGAGCUGAGUGUAGGGCCAGGGAGAUGGCGUCCGCUGUAGACCUGUUUCGGCGGUGGGUGAAUUGCAGUGGAUCAGGAUUGUCAGGAUGUUGAGGGGGUUCAGCUUGUCACCGAACACUCUGACAAACUUCUACACAAGUGCUGCUGAGAGUAUCCCGACUGGUUGCAUCAAGGUCUGGGACGGCAAUUCGAUUGCGCAGGAACGUAAGAAGCUGCAGAGAGUAGUGGACUCUGCCCAAUACAUCACGGGCACAUCCCUCCCCACCAUCGGGAGUAUCUGCAGGAGGCGCUGCCUCAAGAAGGCAACGUCCAUCAUCAAAGAUCCCCACCAUCCGGGCCGUGCCAUCUUCUCGCAGCUACCAUCGGGCAGGAGGUACAGAAGCCUGAAGUCCCCACACCACCAGGUUCAGGGACAGUGACUUCCCUUCAACCAUUCGGUUCUUGAACCAAGCGGCACACCGAAUCACUACAACUUCACAACACUCAGCUCUCUGACCAUUUUGCACUGAAAUGGACUUUGUUAUUUUUUGUUCUAAUUGAGCUCUUUCCUGUAAAAAUUGUGUAUAUUUCAUGUUUAAUUGAUG